UAGUGCCCCACACGAUUUGUUUGAACUCCCGUUCCUCGCUCCCCCAUUUUCAAACCGUACGGGCGCUGCUCCCUCUCCCAUUUUUCUCUCGCAAUGACGCGGGGCGGGGGCUAGGUUGUGGAUUCAGCCAGGAUUCGCCGGUGCGGGGGUCCGUCCAUGGGCGCGGCGAGUCGUCGGCUAUAGGCGAAGAAUGGCACGAAAAAGCAAAGGGAUUGCGGAAAGAACUGAUGGCAAAGGUGAAAAUGAGGGAGAAGACGAGGUGGUUCAAACAACAAGUAAUGUUGGACGCAAGUGUGGGCGGACGAAUCAGGAUCCUGUCCGGGGUGGUUGAUACGUCCAUUUUGCAUCAUGUUUUCCUACUGUUAAUUAUAAUGUUUUUGAUCAUUAUAACACUUUAUGAUGCAAUUUCAAUGCAUUUUCUC